rnacentral:rRNA from 1 species
UACGGAGGGUGCAAGCGUUAUCCGGAUUCACUGGGUUUAAAGGGUGCGUAGGUGGGAAUGUAAGUCAGUGGUGAAAUCUCCGUGCUUAACAUGGUAACUGCCAUUGAUACUAUGUUUCUUGAAUUAUCUGGAGGUCAGCGGAAUAUGUCAUGUAGCGGUAAAAUGCUUAGAUAUGACAUAGAACACCAAUUGCGAAGGCAGCUGGCUACAGGUAUAUUGACACUGAGGCACGAAAGCGUGGGGAUCAAACAGG